GUCUGUAGCCACAUCAUAUUGAGAAACACUGGUUCUUGCCUGAUCAUCAAAAUAAUUCACAUUGAUUCUAGUAAGUACUUGGAUAGGUGACUAUUUGGGAAAAAUACCUAAUUGUAGCAAACA
rnacentral:rRNA from 1 species